GUCAGGAUAGCUAAGCUGUCUAAGGCACUGCAUUCAGGUUGCAGUCAGGUCUUCCCAGCGUGGGUUCAAAUCCUGCUCCAGACA
rnacentral:tRNA from 1 species